rnacentral:rRNA from 1 species
AUUGAACGCUGGCGGCAGGCUUAACACAUGCAAGUCGAGCGGGGUGAUGGUGCUUGCACUAUCACUUAGCGGCGGACGGGUGAGUAAUGCUUAGGAAUCUGCCUAUUAGUGGGGGACAACAUCUCGAAAGGGAUGCUAAUACCGCAUACGUCCUACGGGAGAAAGCAGGGGAUCACUUGUGACCUUGCGCUAAUAGAUGAGCCUAAGUCGGAUUAGCUAGUUGGUGGGGUAAAGGCCUACCAAGGCGACGAUCUGUAGCGGGUCUGAGAGGAUGAUCCGCCACACUGGGACUGAGACACGGCCCAGACUCCUACGGGAGGCAGCAGUGGGGAAUAUUGGACAAUGGGGGGAACCCUGAUCCAGCCAUGCCGCGUGUGUGAAGAAGGCCUUAUGGUUGUAAAGCACUUUAAGCGAGGAGGAGGCUCUUUUGGUUAAUACCCAGAAUGAGUGGACGUUACUCGCAGAAUAAGCACCGGCUAACUCUGUGCCAGCAGCCGCGGUAAUAC